GCAGGUGCGAAAGCAGGUCAUAGUGAUCCGGUGGUUCUGAAUGGAAGGGCCAUCGCUCAACGGAUAAAAGGUACUCCGGGGAUAACAGGCUGAUACCGCCCAAGAGUUCAUAUCGACGGCGGUGUUUGGCACCUCGAUGUCGGCUCAUCACAUCCUGGGGCUGAAGUAGGUCCCAAGGGUAUGGCUGUUCGCCAUUUAAAGUGGUACGCGAGCUGGGUUUAGAACGUCGUGAGACAGUUCGGUCCCUAUCUGCCGUGGGCGCUGGAGAACUGAGGGGGGCUGCUCCUAGUACGAGAGGACCGGAGUGGACGCAUCACUGGUGUUCGGGUUGUCAUGCCAAUGGCACUGCCCGGUAGCUAAAUGCGGAAGAGAUAAGUGCUGAAAGCAUCUAAGCACGAAACUUGCCCCGAGAUGAGUUCUCCCUGAGACUUAGAGUCUCCUGAAGGAACGUUGAAGACGACGACGUUGAUAGGCCGGGUGUGUAAGCGCAGCGAUGCGUUGAGCUAACCGGUACUAAUGAACCGUGAGGCUUAACCUUACA
rnacentral:rRNA from 1 species